AAAAAAAAAUAAAAAUCAAUUCUUUCCCAAACUGUACUGCCUUGACUACCACUGGUUACAGUGCUAAAUAUGUGUACAAGUACAUGGCAAGAUAAUUCUGUAUUUCAAAUUUAAAUACUACUCAAGGUUUCUUGGACCUCUUUGGGGAAAUCCUUUACUGACCAUCACUGAAGGUGACUGCCCUUUACUUUGAAGACCUACCUCAUCUAUGUGGUUCCCCUAGCUCUGACAGCUUUAAGGGGUUUUCCAUCGAAAAAACUAUGACCCACACCAACGUGACAAACCUCAAUUCCAAGUCCUGAAAUCUGACUUCAUUAAAAAAACUUCCCCUGCAGUUUCAAUUUUAGAUCCUGAGGACAAAAUGCUUUCUGACCUGGAGAGCUACUGUAUUUAUUUACUCCAUUGCCGUACUUCACCCAUCCAGGUGAUUCUGGAAGACUCCUCCCCCCAUUUCAGCAAGUCCAGGGUUAUUUGAGGUCAUGGACAAAUACAGCUGAAGUCCCUCUGACCCUCACUGACAGUUAAAACGAGGAAUUUAGUGUAGUUUUAGUCUUAAUAGUCUCCAUAGAGCCUCCACAGGGAAUUUCAAACUUCAUUAUUUCAGCGCAUCAGAAAAGUGAGCUCAAAAUCAGCAGAAUAAGCCCUGGUUCUCAAGCACCGGAAUUCUCCACACAUGACCCACUUUGGCCAUCUGGGCGGGCGCACAGCUGCAACUUCACUACGCCGCCCGCCUGCUUCCCCCCUCGCAGCACCCCUUUUCUUGGCCCAUAUGAUGGAACCAUCUGAGGCUGGAGAACAAAUGAAAGAUGAAUCUGUUCAGCAAGAUUAUAUUAGGAAGAAGAAGUGAAAUUCAGUUUGAGAUCAUGCCCCUGCUCAGAAAGACAUUUCUAUAGUCAUCAAUGGUGCAUAUAAAGCAGCAGUGUACAGCUGGUGUACAUUCCUCCUCCUGAGGUCUCCUUGGAACUGUGGUGCCACUGAUGAAUCCCUCUGCCAUGUCACUGCUGGACAUCAUUACUCAAAAGAUGGAGCAGAACAAGCAUGGGAAAUGGACAUGAGCUAUCGAGACUUGAUGAAGUGAGUAUCAGGGGUUAUGUGGUAUCACAGUUAGUCUGAAUACAGCCAAUAAUCAAAAUCACAGCAAAUCAAAGCAAAGCUUCUACUAGAAAUUCAACGAUUGAGAAUACUAAUACUCUUGUCCUGCUAUGAAGCUGAAUUAGUUUUUUUUUUUUAACAAACAUUGCCUCCUGGAAGAGAUCUUCCAGCAAGCUGAAUUUUAAGCCUGCUAUAAAUUCAUGCCUAAUAUAAUAUAACAUUUCUUUUCUGAAAAGGAGAAUAAAAUGAUCCAGUCUGUGAGCA
rnacentral:lncRNA from 12 species